UCGGAUGUGGUGCGCGGUGUACGUCCGCUGCUUUUGGGUCUUGCAUGAACAUCAAAGCGGGAAAUCCUGGGUUCGACUCCCAGCGUCCGAA